AAGAAACUAACUUACGCGUUAUUAAUUCAAUAUACAGUUAGGCGUUAACUCGAUAAACAACGACGUAAUAAUUGUGUUUGAAUAUCAAUACGAAGUACACAUGCAUGUCUUUUGUGGAGAUAUAGUGUGCUUGUUUAGAUAUAUAUAUAUAUACAUGACAUAAAUCUAUGUGUUAUUGUGUGCGACGAGUUGAAGAAAGGUUUACACGGCGAGGCUUUCCGAGACGUGUCGGAUAAAUAUGUUCUUCACUUUCUUUCCAACAUGCCAGUUGCGUCCGCUGUAGGAUCAGUACAAUCAACGGAACACUUAAGUGAGUGCUGAUAUAAAGGGCCAGUAAAGAAACCAAAGAAGUUCGCAACCAAGUCAGAUGAACUUCAGUACUGGCAGAUACAAUAUUUCAAGGGGGAUGUGCAAAAACAGGAACGGGAGAAACAAACUAGUUGAUAUAAAGAUACGCAUGCUGCUGGCAGAGAAAAAGAGACGUGACCAGAAAGUUGUUGAUAAUUUCAUUAAUGGGGCAUAUUUCGAGGACUAAUGAUCAUGGUGCCAUUAAGUUUGUUGCCUCAGUGGAAACCAUUUGCAUUACAUGUAAAUGAACAAAUUUAUCAACUCUUUGACUGAGAAUAAUAGUUUACAAUUUGCUAUUUUGCUUUAUUGAAAACAAAAUAAUUAACAUUGAUUAUUUUAAAUGUUGUUCAGCAAAUAAUUGUGUUAGAUUAUACCCUUUAUAUUUAAUGUCCUUACAUAAAUGCGAGAAACAAUUUUUCUCCAUUACGCGAAAUAUCUAUUCACAAUAUAUUCACGUAUGUGUAUCCCGCUUGCGUGGCCGUUCACUGCAAGAUUGAAUACUGCAUCAUUAUUUUCUUAAUUUUCAUCAGAAUCCCCAAUGUCAGGUUCGUUGAGUUUGAUGCAAAUAUUGUACAGUAUCACGCAUGCUGUUGUUAUCUUGCAAAUCUUUGCCUGCGACAAUCUAACCUGCAAAUAUUGAAAUAAUAUUACUGUUAUGGGCACAUUAAAUAUAGAAACCUUUAAUGAUUUAUAGGUUAAAUUAUGUAAUGAACAUUUACUAAUUUUUUCUGUAAGAAAAUAAUUGACUUUCUCGAACAUUGCAUAUGUAUGAUAUUGUUUUUCAAAUCUAGUAUUGACAUUUGUAAUUAUUCUAAAUAUUAUUAUUGGAUAAGUAGUAUGUGUGCGUACCUGCGCGUGCGUGCGUGUGGGUGCGUGAGUGUGCGUGUGCACGUGAGUGUGCAUGUAUGUAUGUAGUAUUAUUAUUAUCAUUUUUUGUAUUAUUUUUAAAAUGUCCAGGGUUGAAAGAUAAUUAGAAAUCAAAGUCAUUUAAAUGCAAUAAAAAAGUAAAUAUGAAAAUGCAUAGUGUUAUUGUUAGAUGGCAAUGUACAUAUUCACUGUGUGAUAAUUUGGUUGAAAAGUGUUCUACCUACUUUGCUUCAUUAAAAAAUACCUCAUAGUGUAGAACAGCAAAUCUACGCUUGAGUCUCCCAAAGCUCCUUUCAAUGGCUGCUCGUGUCCAGGCGUGGGCUUGCUGAUACCAUUCCUUGGCCACAGAAUCCGUCGCCAGAAAAGGAGUCAUCAUGUACACUUUGCAUUGGUGACUGGGGAAUAUGAAAUUUAAUUACAAUUGUAAAUAGUAUUAAAAUAUUUAAUGAUCUGCUGUUUAUAAAUAAAUAUUGGCAACUAUGAGAGACGUUUUAUACUGGUACAAAUCUAUAAGUCGUGGGUUAGAAGCAGCUUCCCGGUUAGCUCAUAUAGUGUCAGGGUUCGAGAUCUACAUGGUGACUAUAAUGAAGUUAUAUGGUAAAAAAUAUGACGUCUGCGUCUAAGUUUUAAGGCAGGAGGACUAAUUGUGCGUUGUCAGAAAAAUUGGCUUAGUUGAUAAAGUAAGUGUUCCCUAGACGAACACCGAACUAGAUGCUAUUUUAUUUCCGCGAUUACUUAAUAAUAUUCAAACCUCUUUUCCAUUAAAAUGAAUAUAUAACGCGUUUACUUAGCUAAAACAAUUUUAACAUACUCACUAUCUUCUAACAGCACACCAUCUGCAAAGUUCUGAUUUUCCCGCUCCAGUUUGGCACAGAGACCCGACGUCUUGAAUAUGUGGCUAUCAUGGCAUGACCCUAGGCAACUGGCAUUGACACUUGUAAAUUUCCCUGUAUGACAAAAUAACACAACACAAACUAUACAUGAACACGAAGACACUGUAUUUGGAAAUUUAAAUCCCAAAUCAAUGUUAUUUUUCAUGAAGCAUAAUUUACCCUUUCAAUAACCGUUUCAAGUAACGACCGCUUUGACUUUUGAAAUGCUUCAAUUUAUUAUAUCCAAUGUUUGGAAUAUUUCCAUUACUUUUUUAUCAAACAAAAUAAACAUGCAACCAUUUGUUGAAGAAAAAUUGAUAACAUGUUAGUUGUACAUGUGAAACUUUGUAUAUAUUAAAUAACUAGAUAUACGUUUAUAGUUUACUGAGUAUUUGACUUGAUUAAUAUAGAAAUGUCAAUGCUAACAAUGCUUAUACAAAUUCCGGUUCCGGUUUCUGAGUACCAGACGGGCGCUGAAAAUUGUGAAUAAGAAAUUGUGUAUUCCUCCUAAUAUAUCCCCCUCUCAUAGCCAAAUCCCAGGUCUCCCUUACAAAAUCCGGUUCCGGUUUUUGAGUACCAAAUGGACGCUGAAAAUUGUGUAUAAGAAAUUUUGUAUUCCUCCUAAUAAAGCCCCCUCUCAUAACCAAAUGACAGGUCUCCGUUUACAAUACUGAGUGCAUUCCCAGAUGGAAAGGUGUGGACCCCAGCUCUGAAGUCUUUCAGAGAAUAUUGUUAAAAAAUAUUAAUGUCACAUCGCUGGAAAAUCCAAGAUGGUCGACAUUUGAAUUGCUAAGAAAUAGUAUGUGCUGUGAUUGAGACUUAUUAAAUGAAAAACAUUCAUAAGAGAUAUUAUUUGCUGCGAUAGUGACUGAUUAAAUGAAAAACAUUGUCUAAUCAUGAGAAACAAAAAAAUGGUAGAAUGCCUCAGGAAUCUGGCAAUAGAAAUGACCAAGUCAAAUCCCAUGAACAUAGCGAAAGCACUGUUGAUGAAAAUAAAUGCUCUCUGUGUGAAAUUUAUCUGGAUGAGGAAGAAGCUAGGAUGCAAUGUGAACUUUGUAACAAUUGGUUUUGAUAUGUGCUGAAGUAAAACAACUUUUUAUGAUGAGCUUAAUAAAGAUAACCAAGGUAUCUGGUAUUGUAAUGGAUGUAAAAAGGUAAUACCGGAUGUGCGUAAAGUGCUGAAUGUAGUGAGUGCCAUGAAAAUGUAUCAUAAUGAAAUAGUCGUCUUACAACAAUUGAAAGUAAGCUUCAAAAUGUAGGCGCAAAUGCUGAGUUAAAUAUGGAUUUUAAAAUUGAUCAAGCUUUGUAUGAUCAAAGAGAACGUGAGGUAAGAAACACAACAUUAUACUGUACAAUUUACCAGAAUCAAACGCUCAGACAAACGAGGACAAACUAACUGAAGAUGAAGAAAAUAUCAGAAAGAUAUGUGAAUUUGUUCAAAAUCAUGAAAAGUGUGAACCGAUAGAGAUUAAAUAAACCAAGAGACUGGGUGAAAUACAAAGAGGUCCAAAGGCCAGACCUAGACCGAUGAAAGUAGUUCUUCAAAGAGAUAUUGAAAAAGCGAAAGUCGUACGAAACGGUAAAAAACUGAGAGAAAGUGAAUAAAAGGUAGUUUUACACCUGAUUACACAAGAAGACAAAGGGAAUUGAAUAAUACAAUGAAAAAUGAGGUAGCAAAAAGACGAGAACAUGAUCCUUCCUUCGCUUAUCGUAAGUUAAAGAAUGAACUGUAUGGAAGAGGUAGUUAUGUUGGUAAUUCGAAUGGUACGGAAGGUUCAGAAAAUGGGUCAAAUGAAACCUAUCGAAAAGUAAAAAACGUAGAGUCAAUUGUCCAAGUGCUAAUAUCCAUAUUCCUACUCCAUACGAAUCACAACAGGGUGCAAAAAGAGAGACGCGUCAAAGUAAUGCGGUGUCUAGUCUUCUAAAUAUUAUUAUUGAAUAAGAAGUAUGUGUGCGUGCCUGCGCGUGCGUGCGUGUGGGUGCGUGAGUGUGCGUGUGCACGUGAGUGUGCAUGUAUGUAUGUAGUAUAAUUAUUAUCAUUUUUUGUAUUAUUUUAAAAAUGUC